rnacentral:tRNA from 16 species
GCGGGUGUAACUCAGUGGCUAGAGUUCCUGCCUUCCAAGCAGGCUGUCGAGGGUUCGAAUCCCUUCACCCGCUCCA